UACGUAGGGUGCGAGCGUUUAAUCGGAAUUACUGGGCGUAAAGCGUGCGCAGGCGGUGAUGUAAGACAGUUGUGAAAUCCCCGGGCUCAACCUGGGAACUGCAUCUGUGACUGCAUCGCUGGAGUGCGGCAGAGGGGGGAUGGAAUUCCGCGGUGUAGCAGUGAAAUGCGUAGAUAUGCGGAGGAACACCGAUGGCGAAGGCAAUCCCCUGGGCCUGCACUGACGCUCAUGCACGAAAGCGUGGGGGAGCAAACAGG
rnacentral:rRNA from 1 species